CACAAGCUACUAUAGGGCCUUGUAAGGGAUCAAAUAAUGCAAAAAAUAUUGCCAAUAAACGAGGCGGAAAGCUGUCAGCUUGAUCCAUCCAUCCCUCUUCAGAAUACUCCAUAGGAAAGCUAAAGAAUUUAAAAAUUUCCGAGUUUUUUAUCUAACCUUUAAUUUAUGAAGCUAAAACUUGUAAGAUAUUUAUUUUAAUAUUUCGUUAUGCCCCUACUGGUGGAUGCAAAAGCUUAUGUGCAAGUGUCGAUUUGGGGACUAACUUCAAAAACCAUAUAAAUCUUUGUACGCUACCCAGAAAAGUAGUUGUGCUAAUGAAUUUAUUAUUUACAAACAAUAUUCAGAUUUCUGCAUUGAUGUAACGGUAAGAUGGAAAGUCAUAUAACACUUGUGUACAUUGGGUCAGUAAAUUAUACAAAUUUGAUUCUUAACGUCAAAGCUUCCUGACUACAGCCACAUUUCGCUACAUCAUUAAUGUUAAUAAGGUGAUAAAAAUCAUAUCUGUAUUAACAUUAAGGAUUAUUUCGUAUGGAUAACAGAUGCUAGCAGCCUCUAGGGUUAAAAGAUUUUAAAAAAGUAUAAAACUUGAUUUUCUUAAUCUUUUUGCUUGAUAACUGCGCUAGUAAUAUCCAGUAUACACAGUAAUCAUAUAAAAAUAGUUAAUCUUUGAAACGAUAGUUAAUA